rnacentral:rRNA from 1 species
UUAGCUAAUCCUGGUCGGACAUCAGGAGGUUAGUGCAAUGGCAUAAGCUAGCUUGACUGCGAGCGUGACGGCGCGAGCAGGUGCGAAAGCAGGUCAUAGUGAUCCGGUGGUUCUGAAUGGAAGGGCCAUCGCUCAACGGAUAAAAGGUACUCCGGGGAUAACAGGCUGAUACCGCCCAAGAGUUCAUAUCGACGGCGGUGUUUGGCACCUCGAUGUCGGCUCAUCACAUCCUGGGGCUGAAGUAGGUCCCAAGGGUAUGGCUGUUCGCCAUUUAAAGUGGUACGCGAGCUGGGUUUAGAACGUCGUGAGACAGUUCGGUCCCUAUCUGCCGUGGGCGCUGGAGAAUUGAGGGGGGCUGCUCCUAGUACGAGAGGACCGGAGUGGACGCAUCACUGGUGUUCGGGUUGUCAUGCCAAUGGCACUGCCCGGUAGCUAAAUGCGGAAGAGAUAAGUGCUGAAAGCAUCUAAGCACGAAACUUGCCCCGAGAUGAGUUCUCCCUGAGACUUUAAGUCUCCUGAAGGAACGUUAAAGACGAUGACGUUGAUAGGCCGGGUGUGUAAGCGCAGCGAUGCGUUGAGCUAACCGGUACUAAUGAACCGUGAGGCUUAACCUU